rnacentral:rRNA from 1 species
AGUGAACGCUGGCGGUAGGCCUAACACAUGCAAGUCGAACGGCAGCACAGUAAGAGCUUGCUCUUACGGGUGGCGAGUGGCGGACGGGUGAGGAAUACAUCGGAAUCUACUUUUUCGUGGGGGAUAACGUAGGGAAACUUACGCUAAUACCGCAUACGACCUACGGGUGAAAGCAGGGGAUCUUCGGACCUUGCGCGAUUGAAUGAGCCGAUGUCGGAUUAGCUAGUUGGCGGGGUAAAGGCCCACCAAGGCGACGAUCCGUAGCUGGUCUGAGAGGAUGAUCAGCCACACUGGAACUGAGACACGGUCCAGACUCCUACGGGAGGCAGCAGUGGGGAAUAUUGGACAAUGGGCGCGAGCCUGAUCCAGCCAUACCGCGUGGGUGAAGAAGGCCUUCGGGUUGUAAAGCCCCUUUGUUGGGAAAGAAAAGCAGCAGGUUAAUACCCCGCUGUUCUGACGGUACCCAAAGAAUAAGCACCGGCUAACUUCGUG